rnacentral:rRNA from 1 species
GGAGAACAGGGCUUCCCGUCCGCUCAGCCGUACUUAAGCCACACGCCGGGAGGUUAGUAGUUGGGUGGGUGACCACCAGCGAAUCCCUCCUGUUGUAUGUA